CACUUCCUGUUCUAGUUAAGCUGUUUUGUAGAUCGAGGUCUUCAAUACUAAGUCAAUAGGGAGAAUAAAAUUGGACUUUCGUUUUUGAAUUUGAGAUUUUCAAUUUUCCCGUUGCUGUGGAUUCAAGAUGGCUUCAAUGUAAUGGCGGACGUGGCGCCCCUGGGACACGUGUGCAAGCACUGGGUCAACGAAGAGGGCAUCCUGUACCACUCAGAGGGCGUGAGUUGCGCCCCUAAAAAAGACUUCUAUGUCUUGGACAUUACCGCAGAUGAGCUUGUCAUGACGGUCUGGAAAAUUACGAACCCUUUUCGAGUUUCGUCCAAAGAGACUCUGGCGCCAAAGAAGUUCAAAUGUCUUUACUCGGAAUUCAAACAAAGCCACGAAUUCAGAGCAUGCAUCAUGCAUCAUGGCCUGGGCGAGCUCGAAUACAUAGACAAUCUGAUCGAGGGAAGAAUCGAUUACUUGAGCCGUGUGAGCAAAAAGAUACAGUUGAUGGUAAUCGAACAUUUGUCGCUGCCGAGCAUAUAUCGUCUGAUGCGGACAAAUAAGUAUUUUAAAAAGCUAUGCAGCGACGAUGAAGUCUGGCAAGGGUAUUUGAUGCGCAAUAACCUCAUCAGAUACGCGACUCCAGGUCUGGAGGACAUAGCCAACACACAGGGAUGGAAGGCCUACGCAUCAGUUCUCUUGCGUCUAAAGAAAAUCAACAUUAAAUACAUGAACCCGGUCACCAAAAAGACGUCUGGCUCGAGUAACAGCGAUAAGGACUCCAAGACCAUUGCGAGGCUGAGGGAAAGUCUAGGGAGUGACUACUUUAACAUGUUCCUAGCAGACGACGAAAGUACAGGAAGACGCGGGAGCACUCUCUCCACGCUGGGACAGUUUGCAAAUGACGCCAGUGCUGGGACCAGACGCAGGGACUCAGCAACACGGCGAAGCUUGGUACAAGAGCUGACGAGAGAUACCGUGGAUCUGUCUUACGCCUUCCGUGGUAGGGCGAACUCCCUUAUCAAAUCUGAUGUCGAGGCGCCGGUUAAGAAAGAUGAUCAACGCAGGAAAUCACUCCCCAUAAACAAAUUGUAGAGACAACGUUAAUAGAACCGGGGUGUUCGUAAAGAACAACAUGUUCGUAAAGAACAAAAUGUUCGUAAAGAACAAAAUGUUCAUAAACAACAAAAUGUUCAUGAACAAAAACAAUGUUGCAUAAUGAACAAAAUGUUUGUCUCAAAAGUAUAAACUUUGCAACUCAAACAGGCACUCAACUUCUGUGCAGAUUAACUAAAUGUCCAAUGUCAUAGUGACAUGUCAAAGAAGUCAUCCAAAAUUAGGUUGUUACUCUAAGAUUAUAGUAAAAAUAAAUGUGAAA